rnacentral:rRNA from 1 species
AGGACGAACGCUGGCGGCGUGCCUAACACAUGCAAGUCGAACGAGGUCCAACCGGUGGCAACACUGGUGAAGACCGAGUGGCGAACGGGUGAGUAACACGUGAGCAACCUGCCUCGAAGACUGGGAUAACCCCGGGAAACCGGAGCUAAUACCGGAUACCCCCACCGGGUCGCAUGGCCUGGUGAGGAAAUGGAUUCCGCUUUGAGAGGGGCUCGCGGCCUAUCAGCUUGAUGGUGGGGUAAUGGCCUACCAUGGCACCGACGGGUAGCUGGUCUGAGAGGACGAUCAGCCACACUGGGACUGAGACACGGCCCAGACUCCUACGGGAGGCAGCAGUGGGGAAUCUUGCGCAAUGGGCGAAAGCCUGACGCAGCAACGCCGCGUGUGGGACGAAGGCCUUCUGGGUUGUAAACCACUUUCAGCAGGGACGAUUGUGACGGUACCUGCAGAGAAGCCCGGCCAACUACGCGCCAGCAGCCGCGGU